rnacentral:rRNA from 1 species
UACGGAGGGGGCUAGCGUUGUUCGGAAUUACUGGGCGUAAAGCGCGCGUAGGCGGAUCUGCAAGUCGGGGGUGAAAUCCCGAGGCUCAACCUCGGAACUGCCUUCGAUACUGCGGGUCUCGAGUCCGGGAGAGGUGAGUGGAACUGCGAGUGUAGAGGUGAAAUUCGUAGAUAUUCGCAAGAACACCAGUGGCGAAGGCGGCUCACUGGCCCGAUACUGACGCUGAGGCACGAAAGCGUGGGGAGCAAACAGG